rnacentral:lncRNA from 1 species
CCAUUUGUGUUGUAUCCGAGUUAACGUGAGCUGUUGUGUGGCUUUAGCGUCUUUCGCAGAGUAAAUACAGUGUUACGUUCUUGUUGUGUUAAGGGCUGUAAUAGUAAAUCACACGAUCAAAAAGGUAAUAAAUGAUAACGACGACAGAUAUUUAAAAUUUCCCGCUCAGAAGAAAGUAUAUUGAUAGACUGUAGCAGUAACAACAGACACAUCGGGUGUCCUGGCCAGCUGCAUUGAGACGCAAAAUAUAUCUUCAUUUCUCCGUUUAUGCUCUCAGCAUUAUCACAAAGCCAAGCUGCAUAUGACCCAGACUGAGCACCAUCUCUACAUCUGGGCCACACAGAAACUACACAGACAGACACUGCACACUCUGCAAGACAAACUUAGAGGAGGGAAAGAAAACCAACACUGCAGUCAGCUGAAGAUGUGGACAACCAACAUGCUGAGAAGGAGACACUUGAGGUUGAAGAUGGUGGUGAGACACACUGAUGAGAAGACACACAACACUAAGGAGGUAGCUGAGACAAACUGAAUGUAAACUGUGUAUGGACACGUGUAGAAAUAAACCACCUGUUGGAGGAGAACUGACAGCUGAUGUGUGAACUUGAAGGAUACAGGAUGUCUGAUGUAUUUUGUAACAAGAAUAAGGCUAAAGUACCAAACAGUAAAAUAAAAAAAACACAAAAUCUUAAUAACAAGCACUGAGCCAUAAACAUGACACUCCCUUGUAAAGGUGAAGAUGUCACAUUACAGCACAGGAUUGU